rnacentral:rRNA from 1 species
AAGUCGUAACAAGGUUUCCGUAGGUGAACCUGCGGAAGGAUCAUUACCGAGAUGGGGCCCCGCGCCCCCGGGGGCUUCGGCCCUCGACUCUUCACCCCGUGUCUACCUACCUCUGUUGCUUUGGCGGGCCCCGGGGACCCCCGCACCGGCCCCUGAGCCGGUCCGCGCCCGCCAGAGGCCCAUACCAUUCUGUUUCCGUGAUGUCCGAGUACCAAUCCACAAUCGUUAAAACUUUCAACAACGGAUCUCUUGGUUCCAGCAUCGAUGAAGAACGCAGCGAAAUGCGAUAAGUAAUGUGAAUUGCAGAAUUCAGUGAAUCAUCGAAUCUUUGAACGCACAUUGCGCCCCUCGGUAUUCCGGGGGGCAUGCCUGUUCGAGCGUCAUUGCACCCCUCAAGCGUAGCUUGGUCUUGGGCCCUCGCCGUCGUGGCGUGCCCGAAAAUCAGUGGCGGUCCGGGCCGGCUUCGAGCGCAGUAAACAUUAAAACCGCUCCGAACGUUCGGUCCGCGACUGGCCAGACAACCCCGUCCAUUCUAUGAUUGACCUCGGAUCAGGUAGGGAUACCCGCUGAACUUAA